CUCUCACUAGCUCUCUUACUUCAGUUUUCUUUUAUCCAUCAUUUCUUUCCCUCUCUUGUUCCAAUUCUUCUCCAGACCAGUAUCAACUCCUUCUUCCAAACACAACCACCAUCCACGCACACCAUGCUUCAUCAUCUAACCAUCACCAACACUUUUUUCAUUCAUUUUCCUUGAAAUUUCUGUUCUUGGCCGUGGAGCUUGAAGGAGAAGGAGUUACCGCACUGUUUUCUCGUUUCUUGACCGAUCGUCGUGCGGUCAGUUACUACGCGUAGACCUCGAGGUUCAAUUGUGGAAAGCUUGGGAUUGACUGAACAAGCUUGUGAGCGAGACCUGCACCGCGAGACUAGAACAACUCGAGGCGUCUGUCAGUCGGUUCGUGAUGAUUCGUCCCUCGAGGAGGACCAGGAGCGUAAUGACCAUUACUGAAGCUUUCGACGAGGACCCGAACUUCAUGCAUGAACGGAUGAGGGUCGUUAACAGUAGUGUAGGAUAGGGUUGGUUAGAGCAUACUGGUAAUGGGAGUUUCUGUCAUAGCUCUGAUUCGUCAUUUGUAUUUUUGGGACAGGGUAGGUUCCGACAGAUUGCUUUUCGGUGUGGUUCUCCGUAGAUGGGAAUCGCAUGGAGUAGUCGGACGUAGGAGGUCUUUUGGAAGCCGUUAUGGGCUAACUUACUUUCUUGGAGGACUGUAAUUAUAAAAACUUAUGACUCUAUCUAUGGGUCGUAGUUGUUUGCCGUUGGGCAAUACUUUUAGUUACUCGAUGUCACUUUCCGUCACUUGAGGACACUCGUGACGAUGUUUUUAGUUGCAGCGAGGGCUGUACUCGUAUUGUAUGUUAGUUGCUGUUAAUCGCGAUUGGGUUGAGUCCUUAAU